rnacentral:tRNA from 1 species
AGAAUAUUAAGAUAUAAAUUCUGUUAGUUUUCAAGGCUAAAAGAGCUAAUUUCAG